rnacentral:tRNA from 1 species
UGGUCUAGUGGUUAGGAUUUGGUGCUUUCACCACCACAGCCCAGGUUCAAUUCCUGA